AUGGCUCUCUUAGUUACGUUGCGCCCCGGUCUGAGUCCCCACGUCCGCUCUUCUCCGCCCGCAACCCAAUAAGUUUGCUUUGCAAACACAACAUUAGGGCCGUCCCCUUCAUUCUAUGCCGACCCCGGCCCGGGGCUGGCUUUUUAGGAAGCCCGUUCCCACCGCGCUCACGGCCCGGCUGGCCUUCCAGCAGUAGUGGUAAUUUUCCCGUUCCCUGGUCAAAGACUUGGUUGGAUGCGGGAUCUACUCCGCGAGGAGUGGUACGGACGUAAAUGAUAUCAUCACGACCUCUCUUUUCGUACCGCUAGGGAUUCUUAACGCCACUUCGCCAACUGGCAUUACCUGCGCUUUCGUCUCUCUCAGUGUGGUUAAGGAGUCAACUGAGCAUCUCAGCGGCGGGAUUGAAUACCCGGAUCGAGUCAGAGUUCACUCCGCCCGCCCCGAACAAAUAGGAGGCGUGGGCCACAGGUCGCACAUAAGCCGCCGGGUCGCACGACAGAAGAACACCCAACAUACAGAUGCACACUCCAAAAUGUGAAAUAUUCAUCUUCAUUGGAGCUUUUUGGUGGUAGUCGUGACCAACAGCCAUCAGCUGUCGGCUCGUUGGUAAGGCGAGAGCUUCAAGCCCGAUUUCAGGUUCAGGUGGCACACCCCCCACACAAGCACCACCCGACGAAGGGGGGACGGGGAAAGCUACAGGCCCAAAACCUUCGACCCUUCUUUCUAAAUGGGGGUGCCCGGGGCACCCCAUCCUGUCAUUUUGUUGUUGCUCAUUCCCGUUAGGGUUAGGCCGAAGUCUUUGGUGUAUCCUUAUCCGCGCCCGCUCACGCUUUGCUGACCUAUCGCGUGGUAAAGAGAAGAGAGUACGAAAGAAUAGUAAACAGAGCACACCGCAGAAAGAUUCGAAAUAUGAGAAGUCCCCCUUGGAUUCGAUAAGAAGGAAAUGA